rnacentral:rRNA from 1 species
GGUGAACGCUGGCGGUGUGCCUAAUACAUGCAAGUCGAGCGAACAGAUGAUGAGCUUGCGCCUCUGACGUUAGCGGCGGACGGGUGAGUAACACGUGGAUAACCUACCUAUAAUACUGGGAGGACUUCGGGAGACCGGAGCUAAUACCAGAUAAUAUGUUGAACCGCAUGGAUCAAUAGUGAAUGACGGUUUUGCUGUCACUUAUAGAUGGAUCCGCGCUGCAUUAUCUAGGUGGUAAGGGAACGGCUUACCAAGGCAGCGAUGCGUAGCCGACCUGAGAGGGUGAUCCGCCACCACUGAACUGAGGCACCGUCCCGACUCCUACGGGAGGCAGGAGGAGGGAAUCUUCCGACAUGGGGGGCAGCCUGGCGCCGCCAAGACCGGGGAGUGAUGAAGGUCUUCGGAGCGGUAAACCCUGUUAGUAGGGAAGAACAAGUGUGUAAGUAACUAUGCACGUCUCGAAGGUUACUCAACGGAUAACCACGGCCUAAUUCGUU